AACUAAAGAAAAUACAAAGGAAAAUAACUUAACCAUUUCAUUUUUGUUUUUACAGUGUCCACAUUUCUAGCUUCAGCUGCAUGAUAAAAGCAGUUAUUUAUCAUUUUGAAGGAUUGAGGUUCAAUUCCAAGUCUCACAUAUCAUUUUUCAAAAUGAGUUCAGAUCCAAUGAGGCUUAACUCCAUCCUUCAACCUUCUGGUUGCCUUCGCAUCAUUGCUAUUCAACAGUCUGUGGGAACUCUAAAAGUGGCCGCUGUCAAAAGUAUCCUUUGGCAGCUUAAUUCAAACUAAUGAAGUUUCUACAAAAAUAAGCAAUUAUUUUUUUAAUGCCACUUUCUAAUCAUUGGCUGACUAUU
rnacentral:lncRNA from 1 species